rnacentral:rRNA from 1 species
GAGUUUGAUCCUGGCUCAGAUUGAACGCUGGCGGCAUGCCUUACACAUGCAAGUCAAACGGCAGCACGGGAGCUUGCUCCUGGUGGCGAGUGGCGAACGGGUGAGUAAUGCAUCGGAACGUAUCCUGGAGUGGGGGAUAACGUAGCGAAAGUUACGCUAAUACCGCAUAUUCUGUGAGCAGGAAAGCGGGGGACCUUCGGGCCUCGCGCUCUUGGAGCGGCCGAUGUCGGAUUAGCUAGUUGGUGAGGUAAAGGCUCACCAAGGCGACGAUCCGUAGCAGGUCUGAGAGGAUGAUCUGCCACACUGGAACUGAGACACGGUCCAGACUCCUACGGGAGGCAGCAGUGGGGAAUUUUGGACAAUGGGGGCAACCCUGAUCCAGCCAUGCCGCGUGAGUGAAGAAGGCCUCGG